rnacentral:lncRNA from 1 species
CAUUUCCUGUCACCGAAGGCGUUCGUUAGGGUGGGGGUCGCUGAGUUUUGAGUGUAUUUUCACAGGAAAGCUCAUUUCAGAUCUGCGGCAGGAACUAGGACAACUCACACGGCGGGCCUCGGGUUUGCCGGGAGCCCGAGCCCCGAGCCAGCCGCUGACCCCGCCUGUCCUCGGGGCACAGGGGAGCCAGCAAACCCCCAGCCGCCCAUGAGGCCAGCGGGGGUCCAGCUCCGGUCACAGGAAAAAAUAAGAUAGGCUCUUUCCCACCCCCCCCUCGCCUUUACUCAUUUUCUCUUCCUUUAUUGGAGAAACCCCCUUCCCGCAAAUUUGGUGAUUUGUCUUGUUGUGUUUCCUCUAUUGAUUGUUUAGCUAGUGAUUUUGCCAACUUCCUGGAUGUUCAUUUCUGGUUCUGCACAAAAGAGCCACAUUUCCUUUUGGAUCCGGGAUCAGGAGACAGACAGCAGCAGAUCCGGGAAACAGCUGUGAGGACUUGAGACUGAAUGCAAAGGCUGGGCCCUAGAACGUGCUGGGCGAAGGGCCCCGUCACAGCCGUCCCUGCCAGUCCCUGGAGCCCCGAGAUGGAUGGGCAGCAGGGCUGCCUGGCAUCAUGUCUUGGCCGCCCGCCAGCCGGGCGCCCUGAACGCAGGAUCCGGGUUUUGCCGUCAGACUUGCUCCGGGCAGUGAGGUGCCAGCCAGCGUCACACGGGGACAAGCUUGGAGACACGGUUCCCGUUUCCGCCAGCAUGUUCCCACCGCCGCCGCCAGCCUGA